rnacentral:rRNA from 1 species
CCUACGUGUGGCAGCAGUGGGGAAUAUUGGACAAUGGGCGAAAGCCUGAUCCAGCCAUGCCGCGUGUGUGAAGAAGGCCUUCGGGUUGUAAAGCACUUUCAGUGGGGAAGAAAGCCUUGGGGCUAAUACCCUCGAGGAAGGACAUCACCCACAGAAGAAGCACCGGCUAACUCCGUGCCAGCAGCCGCGGUAAUACGGAGGGUGCGAGCGUUAAUCGGAAUUACUGGGCGUAAAGCGCGCGUAGGCGGUCUGAUAAGCCGGUUGUGAAAGCCCCGGGCUCAACCUGGGAACGGCAUCCGGAACUGUCAGGCUAGAGUGCAGGAGAGGAAGGUAGAAUUCCCGGUGUAGCGGUGAAAUGCGUAGAGAUCGGGAGGAAUACCAGUGGCGAAGGCGGCCUUCUGGACUGACACUGACGCUGAGAUGCGAAAGCGUGGGUAGCAAACAGGAUUAGAUACCCCGGUAGU